CCUACGGGUGGCAGCAGUGGGGAAUAUUGGACAAUGGGGGGAACCCUGAUCCAGCGACGCCGCGUGAGUGAAGAAGUAUUUCGGUAUGUAAAGCUCUAUCAGCAGGGAAGAAAGAAAUGACGGUACCUGACUAAGAAGCCCCGGCUAACUACGUGCCAGCAGCCGCGGUAAUACGUAGGGGGCAAGCGUUAUCCGGAUUUACUGGGUGUAAAGGGAGCGUAGACGGCGAUGCAAGUCUGAAGUGAAAGGCGGGGGCCCAACCUCCGGACUGCUUUGGAAACUGUAUGGCUGGAGUGCGGGAGAGGUAAGUGGAAUUCCUAGUGUAGAGGUGAAAUGCGUAGAUAUUAGGAGGAACACCAGUGGCGAAGGCGGCUUACUGGACUGUAACUGACGUUGAGGCUCGAAAGCGUGUGGAGCAAACAGGAUUAGAUACCCGGGUAGUC
rnacentral:rRNA from 1 species